GAAGGCGAAGGAUCCCGGCAAAACGGAACGCCUUUCUCUCCUCCCCUUCUCCCCUCCGAAACCAGCACCGCCCGCCGCAGCCAGCACACAGAUUUCCUUCCACCUUUCCCCUCCCCUCCUCUGCUCGGGCUACCGACCGGCAGGCCAAGAAGCCCAUCGCCUACCCCUCAAGCCGGAUCCGCCAUGGCGCUGUACCGUCGCGCGGCCUCCGCGAUCCAGCGACGCGGGGCCCAGCCCUUGCUCCCGGCGCGGGCCAUGGCGUCGCUCCUCGGCUACGUCGAGCCGGCGCCCAAGGACCCCAUCCUCGGCGUCACUGAGGCCUUCCUCGCCGACCCUCCCUCGACAAAGUCAACGUCGGCGUCGGCGCCUACCGGGACGACGACGGCAAGCCCGUCGUGCUCGACUGCGUGCGCGAGGCGGAGCGUCGGAUCGCCGGCAACCUCAACAUGUGCGUGAGAUCCCCCUUCCCCGCUUUCCUUCGCUCCGCUCCCUCUUGCUACCUGUUGCUCGCACGAACGGUGUUCGAUGAAAUUUCCCACCAGCCAGGAACCUCUCUUGAACCUAGGCGGCCUUUCUCGUUUGUGACGCCGCCGUGUUCAUUCCGCCGUCGCGGUCUUCUCCUCCCCGUGCACAUACACGGACCGUGACGGGCUCCGCGUCGUACGCAUCUCCUCUAGACCACAUACUCGAAGCCGCGGGUCCCCUCCUACUUCUUCCUCGACCGCCUCUGAUGGCUGCUUGCUUUGCUCCAAUUUUUUCUAUAUCUUCAGAUCGGGUCGCCUAAUUCUUCAUCUCCGAGGCUCGAUCUCGGGUCCCAGACUCAAUCCCUCUUGCGGAAAUGUUUAUCCGAUCUGAAUCUGGUGAGCGUGUGGAUAAGAAGACGCUGACCGUGGGGAGGGAUGUUUCUGUAAAAACAAAAUGUUACCUCAACUAAAAGAGGACUGCGGGUUGAUUCCGAGAAAACAGGAGGGUUUUUAUGUAAAAGUGACGCGACGGACGACAGAAGCACUACGUGCUUUAUUAUUAGGGAGAGAUAGAUACCCAAAUUUAUCAUUGCUGAAGUGUUGUAUUUAAGUGUUGGGCGGUAAUGGUUUCGCCUUUGGCGUGCCACCUUAAAGAUUCGUAAUGCUGCAUAUUAGCGAUGGAGUUACGUUGAGCUCGGUUGUAAAGGUGAUCCAUCAUUUUUUUCUUUAAUGGCUACUCUCAUGGUGCUAGAGGCGGGUAACGAGUGUUGGUGUCAAACUCACAGGUUUUUUUGGUCUUGUUUGUAAUUUUACUUUUUGGCUGGUGUUCCUUUGUGUAAAGGCUAGCGUUCUACUACGUAUUCAGUUUUGCCAA